rnacentral:lncRNA from 1 species
CCCGUGUCAUUGCCCCUCGAGGCAGGGCGGAACCUCUGGGUGGGGAAAGGUGGGCCGUGCUGCUCAGGAACCAAAGGCAAACCAGCCUUGUCCUCACGCCCAGAGCUGUGUCCAGCCUCCUCGGCGAGCCUGGGUUGAUUCCAGGAGAGACUAAGCACCCACUGUGUCCCACGCCUUCAGCCACGUCGCCCGUCACCUGCGGCCUGAGUGUUCCCUUCCAGAGGGCGUGAAAAACAAUUGUCUGCUGAGAGGUCUUUGAAGGGGAAACAAGUGCCCGGGGCAGGCCAGGACCGCAGACUGGAUCUUGAGGACUGGCAGCGCAGUGUUUUGUGCAGAAAAGCUAAGGGAGAUGUUACGUGCUCAGACCACACGAAGCGGGCAGCAUCGUGGCGGGCUUAGCCCGGGCACUGCCUCUCGAAGCUUCCAGGAG